GAGAGGCUGUGGACCAAGUGCGUCAGUACUGAGAGUGGUAGUGAGGGUCCCAGGCUGGUGCAGCAUGAAGAGUACCACAAGAAAUGCCCACCUGUGAGACCGCUGAGGCCGGGCAGCGCCUAUCCACCUCCCCACCCACUUUUUCUCAGAUCACAGGCCUGGGAUCUUGGUACAGUCCAAAUGGUGGGGAAAGAGCAUGGAGAAUAACAAAUACAGAACACUUCUUGUUGACUUCUUCAGGUGAGAGCUCCAGGCGAGAUUUGAUUUAAAUUAGAAAGAAAAUGUUACAUUAGUAGCAACACCAGUAUUAUGGAGAAAUCUGUAAAACUAUUGAACUUAGAACUAAGUAUUAUUUAACUUGCACAGUCUCUGUAAGACAUAUCAUGCACUUAAACUCUUGUCAGACCAGUAAAGUAAAGUUUAUUUUAGUGCUUGUCACGGAUUGGAUUCCCUGGGAAGCAGAUGCUGUGUUGGAGAUGUGCACAUCACAAUGUUAUUGCAGGAGCAUGUUCUUGGGAAUACAAAUGUGGGGGAGUGAAGAGAAGAAAGCAGGAUGAAGCAGAAGGAAAAGAGGAGCUGCAAUCCAGUGCCCAAAGAGCUGUAGAACUGAGAUCACUCUGAAGAACUGUCCCAAACUGGAAGAAGAGGGGCAAGUAAUUAUAAUACCCUAUUGAUAAUCAUUGGAUGAGAGCUUCCCUGGGGAAGGAGGCAUUACUUUGUUCAUGGUGGGUCCCUUAAGCUAACGCAGUUUCAUCACAACGAUGCUCUCAAUCUGGAGUACACACAUCAAGAGAUGGGCAGACCCUUCAGGAGAGGUUUAAUGCAUCCAGUACACAUCGUGGUCGCUCCGCACAUGCUGGUACCCCCUGCUCCAUUAGCAGAAAUUGCUAAUUCUGAAGGUCUCCCCAUUUAAUGUAAUCCACCUCUCCCUCAUUUAAUCACAAAUACAUUCACGCCCUUCCCAGCAGGAGACAACUGAAUAUCACGUUGUGGGCUGUUCUUCAGAUACUUGUCAGGAAAUGUAAGUUCUCUGAAACACCCCCCAAAGGGAAAAGAAUAUGAAAAAGCAUUUGCCUCACAGGAAACCUGCCAACCUUUCUGUUUUACUUGGUGCUUUAGUAGGACAACCACUGGAAAGGGCAGUUUGUUGUCAAAUGAGCAUGUCAAAUGAACUCCAACCACUGCAAGGCAAAAUGAAACCCACGCUACCUAAAAGGUGUAGAUAUCAGUCCAUGUAAUUGAAAUCUGUCGACUUGGGGGUAAGUUAAAGAAACACCGUGUUGUUGUAGAAGGCCAUUGACAUCUUCUCCUGGUAAAACCCCCAGAGGGUGCUGUCUUAAGGUGUUGGACAGAAACUGCCCCAUGGCAUCUACACACUGGAUGUUGAUUUGAGUUAAACUGAGCAUUUGACAGAAGGAUUCUGACCCAUUCCCUGGAGUGAUUUGGGAAGGUAUUUAUAAAAAGGAAUGAUGUGCUCCAGUGAUUUACAAUAAUGGCAUAUAUUGUUUUGUCUUUGGUUUGUUUCUUGAUUGUAAAUAUUGGUCAGUGUCCAAAAUUAAGAUGCAAUCACUGGUUACCCCAACCUGGGAUGUUUAUUUGGAAAAACACAAAGUGGUUUAAAAUUCAUACAAAUCACUCUAAACCUGGGUACACUCUUUUUCUUUAAAUCUUAGAUUCUGCUGUCAGAUCAAGAGAAAAAGGGAAAGCUUUCAUAUUGCUCAAAAUGAUUUUUUAAAAUUUCCUUCAUUUCUUACUUCCUUCUCAACUCUUUUCCACUCUAAAACAUUCUCAACUCCCUAACUCAUUAAGAUAUUUUAUUCAUAAAGAGAACUUAAAUUAAGAUUUAAAUAAAUAUUUAUUAAACUGUUUUCCAGAUUUACAAAAUCCAGCUGGGUAACUCAUUGAAAAUAAGUACUGUGUAAUCUGUUGUCUAGUAAAAAGGGUUUGAACAGGAUGUUUAGGCCACAUCUCAGCUCCAUCAUUCCUUCUGGUAUCCUGGCAUCACUGGGUAAGUUCACAGUUUAAGGAAGGAAUCUGAGGUGGUAGAACCAGGUGUGCUGGAGAGGCAGCCUAGGUCAGUGGCUAAGAGUGAAAUUCUGGCUUCACCACUUUCUAGCUCUUACAACCUUAGGAAGGUUAUGUAAUUUCAUAUUAUUAUUAUUAUUAAAGCCUUAUGAUAUAGUUAUUAUUAUUAUCUCCAUUUUAAAGAUGAGAAAACACAGAGCACAAAACCAUAAAGACUGUGUCUGGGAUGCAGUAAGUGUUAUGUAAGGGUGUUAAGCAAGUAAGCAUACAAAAUGCAGGACCAAAAGAAGCAACACCAGCCCCCAAACUACACCAUGUGAAUUUCCAAAGAACCAAGUGUUCACACUACAUCAAAACGAGCCUGUUGAAUCUUUUGGACUCUGAGAAAUAAAGCAUAGUUAUUAUCAAAUUAAGAUUUAAAUUCAAUUCCUCAGCUGCGUCUUGAUCACUGGAUACCACUUUAAUAAUCACAUUAUUAAAGAAAGUUCCAAGUUUGGGGUGGAAUACUGCAGAUGAGGAAAGUAGAAAUUACUGCUAUAUUAUGAUCUACACUUUGUCUUAAUAUGAUCUGGCCCAUAUAAAAAUGCUCCAGAACAGUUGCAAAAUAUGGAUAUUUUUCUUUGAAAACCAGCCUUUUGUCUUUAUAACUUACAAAGCCAUUUUUCCCAGUCCACAAAGCUAUUUGGUCACAAAUUUAAGAAACCAGUGAUUCCUGAGAUAUAUGUGCUUUCACACUUCAGGAAAUAAUUUCAAAAUGAUUUUGGCAGUCUACCCAUUUUUAUAAAGAUAAAAAACUAAAAUAUUAUUUUGUCUUAGAAAUAAGUAUUAAUAGAGACAUUAUUAUAUCUUUGCCCCUAGAGCUUUAGAAGCAAAGAUUUGUCUUUCUCUUCCUCUCUCUCUCACUCUUCCCUAUUUCCUCCUUCCUGGUGAGUCUUACUUCUGUAUACUAGAGUAAUUAUAUCUAUUUUUUUGAAUGCUUUUGUAUGUAUAUUAUAAAGUGUUUCCUUUCUUGUUCUCAAUUCAAAUGGAAUACUGAACUGUGCUCUCUGUAUACUAAGUUAACUGGGGCCUGUCGGGGGGGUGGGGGGAGGGGGGAGGGAUAGCAUUAGGAGGAAAACCUAAUGUAAAUGAUGAGUUAAUGGGUCCAGCAAACCAACAUGGCACAUGUAUACAUAUGUAACAAACCUGCACGUUGUGCACAUGUACCCUAGAACUUAAAGUAUAAUAAAAAAAAAAAUUUAAAAAAAAAUUUUGCCCAGCUCGUUUUUUUUCUUUAACUAGAAUACUAAAGAGAUACAAUGAUCUAUUUUAAACAAAGCUAUUUGUCUUAGUAUUUUUUAAAAUAGUACAAGGUGGAAAACAAGCUCAGGGUCUAUCCCUAUCAGAAUAGUCAAACAACCAGAGUUCAUGCAUACUCUAGUAUAAUCUGCAUCUGCUUAAAAAUUUGAAGUCACAUAUACUAAUUUUAAAAAGCCAAUUCCGACACAUUUUAAGAGGGAAACGAUGCAGAUUUUCCGCUCUAGCUCUGCUAUGGUUUGAUUCUUUGUCUCUUCCAAAACUCAUGUUGAAAUUUUAUCCCCAGUGUGGCAGUAUUGAGAGGUUAGGCCUUUAAGAGGUGAUUGGAUUGUGAGGGUUCUGACACGAAUAGAUUGAUCCAUUUGUGGAUUAAUGGGCUAUCACAGGAGUGGAAAGAGAGGAAGAGAGAUCUGAGCUAGCACACUUAGAAAGCUUGCCAUGUGAUACCCUGUGCCACCUUGGAACUCUAUAGAGAAUCCCCACCAGCAAGAAGGCCCUCACUAGAUGCAGACCCUCGACCCUGGACCUCUCUCAGCCUCCUUAACUGUAAGAAAUAUAUUCUUUUCUUUAUAAAUUACCCAGUUUCGGGUAUUUUGUUGUAAGCAACAGAAAACUAAGACAAGCUCUCUUUAUAUAUGUGUGUGUAUAUAUAUAUAUAUAUAUAUAUAUGUAUUUUUUUUCUGUGUAGCAAAAUCCCAUUUAUGUUUUUUCUCAAUGAAUAGAAGGCCUGAGAAGAGUUAACCUUUCUGAAGAUACAGCUAUGAGUGUGCCAGUAGUAAUGGGAUAACCUUUUACUCUGUAUUGCCAGAAUCUUUCAAAAGGACAAAUUCAUGUAUAUUUUGUAUUAUUAUUUCUUAAGUCUGUGGUCUGCAACAGAGAAUAAAAAGCUGUUUCAUAUCUUCUGUGUGUGCAAGGAACACAGCAGGAUUCUGAAGAGGAAGUUUGCCAUUCUCUGCUUGUCAAGGCUCCUCUCCAAGCCCAUGAUCACCCUUCCUUUUUAGCAGCAUUCUGAAGACCCCUGCUGGGAUGGUCUACCGUGGAGAGAGCACCGUCCACCAUUCCAAAUUUAUUGCUGCCUUUCGUCUAUCAGAAUUUAUCUGCCCCAUUCCCUUUUUGUUUGCCUUGCUUUCUUCCCCAAAAGGUGAAAGUUGAUACUAAUUAAGUGCUAUCUCCAAAGGCCUCUAAAAAUAGAGCAUAAAGCAAUAAAUAACAUCAUACAAGAAUAAAUCAACAGAGUUGAUAAGUCAUUUUCUGCUAAGAAAUAUGAACUGGCUCAAUGUACAUAAAAAUUAGAUGUAAGAGUAUCUGUUUUGGGUUGCUUCAGGUGUGAGAUAGGGAUGAUGCUCCAGUAGCCAAUACCACCCCAAAAACACAGGUAUGAAAGAUCUCUCCAUACUUUUUCUCUACUGUGCUGACAGUCCCUUUAGACUUACUUGUAUAUCAAGGUGUUUUAAAGACAGUAUAUUCUUGAAGUGGCCAAGCCACAGGGUUGGGAAGACAUGAAGCAUUUGCUCCUGAGAUGACUGGAAGGUCCAGAACUCUGAGUGUAGGCAAGACCACUAACAUCUUUGGCUCAUGAGAGGCAGCCAGUCCUGGCAAGUCACUUCAUAUGUGGGUAGAGGUUGCAUCUCUGGUCCAGCGGAGCCCCUAGUGCCAACUCCUCAGAUGCACUGUCCUUCCUCCUCACUCUAUCACACUCCUUCGUCAUCCUUCCUGUAAGCUUGACACCUACCGAACUACCCUUUUAAUGUCACACUGUCCCAAGAUUUACCCUCAAGAAAUAACGCCAGAAAGUCCAC
rnacentral:lncRNA from 1 species